rfam:Halobacterium hubeiense strain JI20-1 genome assembly, chromosome: I
UAGGGAACCACACGGCCGUAGAUCCGACAGCGCCGCGCUGGCUCGGGCGCAAAUUGCGUCCGCUGGCGUGGCUUGGGACUGCGGUAGUGU